rnacentral:rRNA from 2 species
ACUGAUUGAUGGUGCUUGCACCUGAUUGACGAUGGAUCACCAGUGAGUGGCGGACGGGUGAGUAACACGUAGGUAACCUGCCCCGGAGCGGGGGAUAACAUUUGGAAACAGAUGCUAAUACCGCAUAACAACAAAAGCCACAUGGCUUUUGUUUGAAAGAUGGCUUUGGCUAUCACUCUGGGAUGGACCUGCGGUGCAUUAGCUAGUUGGUAAGGUAACGGCUUACCAAGGCGAUGAUGCAUAGCCGAGUUGAGAGACUGAUCGGCCACAAUGGAACUGAGACACGGUCCAUACUCCUACGGGAGGCAGCAGUAGGGAAUCUUCCACAAUGGGCGCAAGCCUGAUGGAGCAACACCGCGUGAGUGAAGAAGGGUUUCGGCUCGUAAAGCUCUGUUGUUGGAGAAGAACGUGCGUGAGAGUAACUGUUCACGCAGUGACGGUAUCCAACCAGAAAGUCACGGCUAACUACGUGCCAGCAGCCGCGGUAAUACGUAGGUGGCAAGCGUUAUCCGGAUUUAUUGGGCGUAAAGCGAGCGCAGGCGGUUGCUUAGGUCUGAUGUGAAAGCCUUCGGCUUAACCGAAGAAGUGCAUCGGAAACCGGGCGACUUGAGUGCAGA